CCAACAACUCAGGAUAUCCCUGCACCAUGAAGGAGAUGAAAUCCAUCUACAUGGCCAAGCCGAUAACUGUGACAUGGAUUUGAUCAGGGGCAAGGACUUAAGAACAUUUAUAGAAUACAAGAAACAGAUGUGUAUGGCUAUGUGUGGCCAACAGGAAAAAGACAGACAAGGGAAGUCAGAAACCACACCUCAAGAGGUAGAGGCCCUGCUACAGGACUAUAAGGAUGUCUUUCAGACUCCUAGCUCAUUACCCCCAAGUAGGAGCGUAGACCAUGAGAUUCCUCUCAAACAGGAGGCUCAGCCAUUCAAACUUAAGCCUUACAGAUAUCCUCACUGUCACAAGGAGGAGAUAGAGAGACAGGUUACUGAAAUGCUGCAGAAAGGUAUUGUGAAACACAGUAACAGCCCUUUGCCUCCCCUGUACUACUAGUCAAGAAGAAGGAAGGCACCUGGAGGUUUUGUGUGGACUACAGGAAGCUGAAUGAGAUCACUAUUAAAGACAGAUUUCCAAUACCCAAUGUAGAUGAACUGUUGGAUGAGUUAUCAGGAGCUGUGUUCAAAACCAAGUUAGCAAUGGAGGCUUUCAGUAAACAGCAGCAACUAACAUUGCAGACAACUAUUACAAAAAAGAUUCUAAGCUAGAAGAAUUACAUGUAAACACUGAAAGUUUCAGAUGAAUUUUCCAGUGACACUCAAUCUCUCGUCAAGCUGAUUAAAAGCAGUAUUAUUGCCUUGAAAAUUUCGUUUUAUUUCAUGGUUCCAAGUGUUCAAAGAGUAGCGUAAGCAAAGAAAUUUGAUCUCUGGAUGAGAGGUUCAUUGCAUAUGGAGAUUUAACACUAAGUUUGGGUUGGGACAUUGGGCCAAAUGUAACAAAGUAUUACGGGGUACAUUCGUGGUAAAUUUCAUUUUCUGGAAGCUGGAACAGAUGAUAGUUACCUAAACAAAGAAACUUACUCCCAGAUUUAUUAUGGAGGAAGAGACAAUAUUUGGCUUUUCUUUUGGGUUGGGGGGGAGGGGGGGGAAUACACCUAUUAAAAACUUUUGGCCUUCAUAAUGUAAAUACCCCUUAUUUUCAGAGAAAAGAAUUUCUUAUGGGUGGCAUUGCAAGUGGAAGGACAUUUCUGAUAAGUUGGAAGUAUGUCAGGCCAAUUAUAGAGAAGAUUAAUCAUUCUUGUUCUGAGAGUUGUAACUGAUGCUUGGUUACAAAAAGUUACCGAACAAAAUGCUACAUGGAGAAGCCCAACGGCCUAAAAGUUUAAGUUUUAAGAUGAAAACUGCUAUGAAAUGCUCCUUUACAAAUGAAUCGGAGAUUGACAGGAAUCAAGAAUUUCCAAACUUGUCUAUCUAAGAUAAAUCACUACUAUACAAAAAGCCUUUUCUUGGAAAUCAAGUAUGCCAAAGCACAUGAAUUCCAAACCUAUUCUUUAAAACUUUUAAUAGUUUGGGUGCUAUUGUUCAUGUUGCAGAAAUUGAGGCAAGAAUGACCUCUUGCAAAAAAAUAAACAAGAGGAACUUACAAGACAAAAUGAAUCGUGUUCAGCAGCUAAUCUAGGACCUAAGGAACUUCAAUCUCAAAUUGCUAGCUCUCCAAGCUUCGUACUUUUAAUUUCAUCCAGUUGAGUAUUCUCAGCAUGAAAAAUAUCUCAGUCCAUAUGCAUUUUUUGUAGUAGCUUUGUAUUUCUCAAUUACAAUCAUGAAGAACAAUGCUAUUGUGUAUCUUUCCACAUGGAUGCAAACAUUCAACACCACAAACCAUCAGAUGGUAACUGUAAAACUUGACAAGUUCAAUGCCAACUUUCUAGGUCUGAUCUUUCUUUUCCACAUUUUUUAUCCCUCAAGCUUGUCACCUCAAAAUUUAAGUGUCCACCAUCACUCAACAAUCACAACCACAACAGCCUAUUUUCACCUUCUUGGUGCUGUAUUUCAGCUUCCAUUGCAGUUUAUAAAGUUGUCCUGAUUGGAGAGAAGGAAAUAGAGCUUUUGGGGGUGUACCAAGACAGUAUGAAUAUGAAAAUUUUACUGCCUUCACCCAAAACUGAAGGCCAUAGUUCGACUAAAGAGAAUAUGAAUAAAAAAACUGAAUAACAUAAUAGCCCAAAGAGAGUGUGAACAGAAUACAGGAAUUCCAAUAGAGUUAGUGAAAAACAUGUAGAUGAACCCUUUAAUCAUUUCUGUUAUACACAAAGGAUACAUCAAAUGAAGAAAUAUCAAAGAAAACAACAAUUCUUUUUGGGGAGGCCAAAACAAGAAAUCAGAAUUCGAAACACCAGGGAGUUUAUAAUUCUCCAUACUUUCUUGGAGUAGGCAAUCUUGUGAAUUCAUGGACGUAUAACAAAUAUACUUCCAAAACAGCCUACUUUUCUUGCAAAAAUGAUUGCAACCCAUAAUAGUGGUUCAGUUCUUAUAGGCUUGGUUUACAUUGUUUUACAACCUGGCCAACUAUCAUAGUACUUCUAGGUGGAUAACUAAUCCAGUCAAACUAGGAUACCAGGUCCUGAUUUAAUAUGUAAGGGGAUCCAAUACUGUAUCUUCAUUACAGUUGCUCCAGCAUCAUUUCUUUCUCGUCGAGUCUCAGCCUGACGGCCUACUCAAGGGUUCCCCACCAAUAAUCAACUAAAUUUGGAAAACCAAAACUUCACUAAAUUUCUAAGCAUUAGCACAUUUAUUCACCAAAAAUUAUUUAGCCCCUCAGACUAGAGGGUACAUUUGCUUAUCUGGGUUGAGGUCUCAGUUUUACCAUCUGCAUCAAAGUUUUGAAAGAGUUCAUAAGUGGCUAAAUCUGCCACCAACCAAUCAGUUAUAGAUCCUGCUGAAAGUAAGAAAAAAGAAAUCAGCAGGAAUGCUGGAAGCAAUAAGAGUGUUGGCUUACCAUAGGAUCAAAUAAUGUCCCAACAGUUGGUACAACAGAUACACCCAAGUUCUUCAUGAUUUCUACAAAUUGCUUGUAUAUGCCCUGAUAACUUGCAUCAAUUUUCUUUUCCUGCUCUGUCUCUAGUUUCAUAUGUUGCUUGGCUCGUUCAAAGUUAUCUACCAUAGGCAAGAGACUCUCAAUCACUUCUCCCUGGGCAUUACUCCUUAUUGUUAGCUUCUCAUUCUCUGUUCUCUUCCUGAAGUUGUCAAAAUCUGCUUGCAAACGAACAUACUUGUCCUUCUGAGCACCAAUUUCAUCUGACAAAACAGAAACCUUUUCUAACAACUCAUUCCUCUCCUUUUCUACCAUGUGUAUUAUCUCUUCAAAAUCGGAUAUACUUUUCUCAUCUCCAUUUAAAAUGGCCUCCUUAUAAGCUGAGAUAGUAGACUCCAAUCUUGAAGGAAGUUCUUGGUCCGCUUCCUCUUCUGUUUUACUGAGAGGAGUCUCAUCUUCAUCAUCAGUCUAUCAUGUAUCACAUUGAUAUUAUUAAGCAUGCAAUGGCAGCUAUAAAAGUACUCAAAAUUUCUACCAUUAUACAGAAAAUUUAUAUGGUUGAUGAAAAAUUACCAUUACUUGUUACCUUUGUAAAUGAACUGAACAUUGCAUGAGAUAAGAACCAAUAAUAGGUUCAAAACAGUGACAGAGGAAGCGAUCUCUAAACUUUGAAGUAUGAGACACACACUGUAAAGUAUACAGACAUGGUACACUAACUCUCUCUCUCUCUCUCUCUCUCUGUUUUGAUUCAUUGGUGGUGGUGUAAGGGGAACUCAACUUAACCUCGUCCCGUUUUAAUAGUUUUUGAAAAAAGAGACAAACAAAACUUCAUUUUUCAGCAGCAGCCUUGAAGCCAGCAAGAAACACUAUGAAUGAAAUACUUACUUACAAUUCCUGUCAAUAAGUUGAUUUAGUAAUUUCUCUGAAAGCAGACACCUUAAAGCAAAAUUGAUGAAAGAAAAGAUGUAUCUGUUCACUGUAUUUUGACCAAAUUCCAGCAGAUUUGCACAAUUUUUUAGAAUAAAAAAUCAACUAAAAUAACAACAUCUUUGUUCAUGUUUACAUAUCUAUACUUGAAAUUCAGCUUGUAAUUCCCCAAAAUCAAGCCUGCUUACCAAUAACCAAUAUCAAAAUUUAAUAAAUGAAUCUAAGAUACAUAAAGAAUCAAAAUUGGCUUCGACUAAACACACCAAGCCAAGAAAGAACAUCAGCCACAACUUCCAUCACGAGUUAAAAGCAACUAAACAAAAAAAAAAUUACUUCGGAAGCGGAGUCUUCGGAUUGUGACUGAGAAGCUUUAAGAAAUCGGCAUCUCCUGCUGCUGUUGUUAUUGAUUACCGGAAUGUUUGCAUUUUUGGGCAAACAAAAACAAAAGCCUCUGGAGGAAAUGGGUUUCAAGGAAAAUGGGUUUGGAAAUAAUUUGAAGAAGAUGAAGGAAGGGAUGGGCGAUGAGGAGAAGCAUAUGAACAAAGAUAAGCUGUUGAAGCUGAAGCUGUUGGUGCCGCCGCCAUAGAAGUUUCUAGUAUUAUCACUGAAGAUUGAAAGGGAGGAGUCUGGUAAUUUCACACCAAGCGGAGGAAGAAGAAGGUGGAGUUGGUGUAGGGGUUUUGGGAUAAGAGAAAACGAUGUCGUUAAGUCAGAAAGCCGAAAACGACAAAAAAGAAUAAAAUAAAAACAAAAGGCCCAACUUAGCCUUAUUCUAGAUACAUCUUCACGCGUGUGCUGCAUUUUCUGGUCUCUCACUAGCGCCAAAACAGCUGCAUUUGAGUUGAGUUCAACAGUUGACAACUCGAAUUUUAACUAAAAUAUCGCUGAGUUUUUAGAAACCGAAUCGUGCUAGCUCGAUUUUAGUUUAACUUUUCUUUUUUGCCGUAACUGCACGUUUAACAUAACCUAACCUACUCUUACUUCUACCAGGGGAACCUACUCUAUAAGAUGGCUUAAUUGAGUCAGAAAACCUGACGAGAACUGAACAAUCAUUAAACUAAACGGAUGCACCACACACUCAAUGGAUUUUGAACUCUUAACCUCCCACCCCACAAUAAAUGCGAUGACCAAUUCCUCUUGAGGGAGUUUUAGUUUAACUUGAGUUCAUAAAAAUUCGAGAUCGAGCUAGAUCGAUUUUAGUUUUACUUGAGUUUGAACUUAAGUUAAUUGAGUUUGAUGAAAUCUAAUCAAGUUUAAUGGAGUCUAUUCAAUCUAAUCAAAUUCACCUAAUAAAAUGAUAUUUCGAUAUUUCGCUUGUAUUAUAAACACAUUUUUUAAUUUACUUUUUUCUAUUUUCAACCAUUUUUUUUAUCUCACGUACAUCAUAUCACAAAAAAUGUUACAGUAAUUAUUUCAAAUAAUACUCUAUCUUACAUAUAAUUUUAAACAAAGAAUAUAAUCGAUAUUUUACAAUAAUAAACAUAAAAAAUAAAAAUAAUAUAUAUGUGUGUGUAUGUGGGUGCAUGUGUGUGUGUGUCGGUUAGAUUUGUCAAGCUUACAAGUUUAGAAAUAUAAUACUCAAGCACGAUUUUUAAGUAUUUUGAAGUUGUUUAAACUUGACUCGAGUUUAGUCAAUGUCUAACUCAAGCCGGAUAGUUGAGUUAGUUACUCGCGAAUUUGAGUCUAAUAGCUUGAUCAACUCGCAGUCCUAGUUUACUGAACGACUACUUGACCCGUGAAAGGGAAAAGUGACCCGACCGGUAGUAUUGAUUGAACACAAAUUUGAACUGUAUCCAUCCGUAGUUAUAAAUCAAUAUGGGUGGGUAAGGGUCAAGUAUGCGCUCCAUGCAUCACUUGACCGAUGUCAGGAUAUGAAAUUGUUGAAUUGAGAUUAAUUGGGUAUAUUUCAAUUAAAGGUCAAAACGAUGUCGUUUGGGUUAGUAGUUAGUUAAAGUAGUUACUUAGCAAUUGCAGGUUGUUAAGUUUGUUAUAAGUAGAGGACCCACGCAUGAGAGAUACAGACUUUGUUUUUGGUAAUCAGAUGUAUUUCAAUUCCUCUUUCUAAAUUCUAUUUCUUCCCCAUUCUCUCUGAUUCUCUCCCUCUCUGCAAUCUUCAGCUCAUUUCCCAACUUAAUCCCAAUCGUAACUCAGAUAUAAACAAUUGCACUUAAGUUCCUGACAAAUUGGUAUCAGAGCAAGAGAUCCUUGGAAAUUACCAUUAGCAAUGGCAGAAGGCACUAGAUUCCGGUCAUUGGAGGAGCAAGUUAAGAAACAAGAAAUCAAGCUGCAGGAAUUGGUAGAAUCUCUCCAUACAUCACAGUCGGAGCAGCAGCAAAUUAAAAAGGAAUUGAAACAGGAACUGGAGGAGAGUAGCAAACGGAUGGAAGGCCUAUUAUUAGGUAUGGAGCAGAAUUUUCUCAAAAUUUUGGAGCAAAAGCUGAACAAUCUUCUGCUAAGGACUCCUAUGAAGGAGAAGACUACUGAAGGGGAUGGAAGAUUGCCAGUAGAUCAGACGCCACUGUUACCAACUCCACCAGCUCACUGCAGGAUACAACCUGAAGGCGAAGCUCAGAAACUCUUCAAGAAGGACUGGAGUAAGUUUCAGAUUCCAAAUCCUCCUAAAAUUGAUUUACAGCUAUUUUCUGGAGAACAUCCUAGGGUUUGGCUGAGGAAAUGUAAUAAAUACUUUUUGAAUUAUCAAGUUCCACACGAGCAUAAAAUUGAAAUCAUUGAAAUGUAUCUGGAUGGCAAGGCUGACAAAUGGUUCCAAGGUGUAAAAAUUGAAAAGCCUAGAUUAGGAUGGGAGGAAUUUGAAGAUAUGUUAUGUAGGAGGUUUAAUGAUAGAUCGUGUAAGGAUAUAGUGGAAGAAUUCAAUAAACUGCAACAAGUAGGCAGUAUCGAGGACUAUCAGGAGAGAUUUGAGGAGCUGAAGCCUUUGAUGAUGAUCAAAAAUAGAAACCUGGAUGAAAACUAUUUUAUUUCCAGUUUCAUAAGUGGACUUAAGGAAGAAAUUAAGCCUGUGGUCAGGAUGCUGAAACCUGCCACACUAUCUGAAGCCUUCGAGCUAUCUCAAUGGCAAGAGCAAGUCAUAAGAAUCCAGAAUAAAAGCUCCAAGGAAAACACCAGGCCAAUGGGAGAAAACAAAUUUGGCAUAACCAGAAGUGCUAACACUUCUGUUGGAACAAAUUCUUACAAGGUCCCUGCCACUAGCAAUUUUAAGCACACUAAGUUUAGGAGUUCACCAGGGGAUACUAAGGAACCAGCAAAGUUGUCUGCUCAGGAGUUGCAGUAUAGGAGGAGUAAUGGAUUGUGUUUCAGGUGCGGAGAGAAGUAUGGAAUGGGACAUCAGUGUAGAGUGGGUCACUCAAAUUGUAUGACACUGGAAGAGGAGGAGGAUUCUGCAUUUGAGGAUGCCCUUGGAGAACAAGAUGAACAGACUGGGAAUCUUGGACAGGCCAUGGAAGUGUCACUGCAUGCUUUAUCUGAGGCUCUUAAGAGAAAAACUAUUACACUCUCUGGAAUCUUAGAUGGGGAGGAAGUACUGAUAUUGGUGGACACUGGGAGCUCAGACAGCUACAUUAGCAGUGAGCUUGUAAUUGGGAUGGACAUAGGCUAUCAGUGGGUGGAUCAACCAUUCUCUGUCAUAAUGGGGAAUGGAUCAUGUGUCACCAGCAAUGCAAUAUGCAAUGGGGUGCAGUGGAGGAUUAAUCAACACAACUUCAGGUAUAACCUCAAGGUAAUGGAACUGGGAGGUUGGGACAUAAUCCUAGGAGUGGACUGGAUGACACACUUCAGUCCCAUCACAUUCGACUUCCAACAACUCAGGAUAUCCCUGCACCAUGAAGGAGAUGAAAUCCAUCUACAUGGCCAAGCCGAUAACUGUGACAUGGAUUUGAUCAGGGGCAAGGACUUAAGAACAUUUAUAGAAUACAAGAAACAGAUGUGUAUGGCUAUGUGUGGCCAACAGGAAAAAGACAGACAAGGGAAGUCAGAAACCACACCUCAAGAGGUAGAGGCCCUGCUACAGGACUAUAAGGAUGUCUUUCAGACUCCUAGCUCAUUACCCCCAAGUAGGAGCGUAGACCAUGAGAUUCCUCUCAAACAGGAGGCUCAGCCAUUCAAACUUAAGCCUUACAGAUAUCCUCACUGUCACAAGGAGGAGAUAGAGAGACAGGUUACUGAAAUGCUGCAGAAAGGUAUUGUGAAACACAGUAACAGCCCCUUUGCCUCCCCUGUACUACU
rnacentral:lncRNA from 1 species